AUAGUAAAGGAGGUCUGCUUUGAAAAAGGGAAGGGAGUCUACCAGUGUUCAGAUAAGAUCAUGAAGAGCAAAUUCAGAGAAAACAGGUGACUGAGAGGAGUGAUGAGGAAAGAGGCUGAAGCAGCGAGAGAGAAAUGAAAGAUUACCUGAUGAUCAUAAGACUUCAUAAGCCACUGGAGAUGACAUAAUCAGAAAUGUAACAAUAUGGGGAGGACUUGCGGCAGACUGUCACUAAAGAAUGGAGAUUCAAGCCUCUGGAUUUGAAACAUUAAGUGCAACGACAGGGCUUAUCUUUGAUGGCAUGCACGUAUACAUUCUGAAGGAAGUUAAUGCAGGGUACUUACUUUCAGGAAAGGAUCAAAAACUGCUUUUAAGAAGUAAGGAAAAAUAAAUGCAGCAGGGUAUUCUCAACCCCAUUCCUUCAGCCUCCACGGAAAUAUCUCCCAUCAUCUGCCUGAAUUCAGCUCUGCAGUCCUGCUGUGGCUUCUAAAUUUAAGGGAAACAUCUCUCUGUCUCUGAGAUCUCCUGAUGUAGUUGUACAUCUCAUCUCCUGAUGUAGUUGUUCCAUUAUUUUUACAAAUAAGUACUCAUUGGCUUAGAUAGUAUGUAAGAAUAAUCUUAUGCAGGUUGGUAGUAUGGCUUUUAUUCGAGAAACGCAAAAUCCUAGCUUAGGAUUGCUGUAACAGCUACUGAUUACACUACUCUUUAUGAAGCUGAGUCUCCAGUUCAGUCACCUUUCUGAACAAGGUAACAUUAAAAUUUGAAUCUGAGGCUCCUGCAGCCCGGCAAGUGCCUAACCAUUAAAUUCUAUGGUACACAGAGAAAUCUCUGUUUUAUCAAUGGCAGUGAAGUCCUAUUCUGAGUUUGGUAAUUUUAAAAAUGUAUAUCUUUUUUUAAGAAAAAAAGAGAAAUAUUUUAAAGAAAAAAACCCGAAUGAGGUAACUUUUCAAUUUGACUCCACCCACCUAAAUUUAUUAUUUGUGUAUCUAUUUCAAAAUGUGUCAGGAAGGAAGGAAUUAUCAAAGUAUAUGUUAAACUCAGCAUCUUCAUACUACAGACUCGAAAAUAAUUAACAGUCUAGAUUUCUGCAUAGCAGAGUAUUAUCUCUUAUUAGAAAACUUGGCAAUGUAAGCAUGGGACAGAGCAAUAACUUCCACAACUGCUUGCUGUUGGCUUGAGGGUCUGUUAAGCACUUAGAAUUACACAGGAAGUCACCUGUUUAAGUGGUGAGCUCAUCUCUUUGCCAUAUACUCCUACCCAAGAUAGCACAACACAAAAAUAGCUCUGGUUUAUUUGAUUUGUUUUAACUCAGGAUGUUAUGAUUUGCCUCUGAAACCUGAUGACACAGAAUACGAGAUUCAGGGAUAACAUGAAAUGGACACUAGAUGAUACAUGAAUUUGUAGCCAUAUUUUCAAGCUAAGUCUGCUACCAUUUGUCAGAUUUAUUACUGUUUUUAUCCCCAAAUUGUCAUCAUAAAAUGAAUAAAAAUUAUUGGAAUGCAAGGAUACACCCUUUCCUGAUGAGAUGACCAACUUAGUGAUUGAGGGGAGAGCAGUAUAUGUUGCUUAUUCUGACUGUAGUUUUAGAUACUGCCUUCCAAAACAUCCUCAUAGACAAGCUGAUUAAAAAUGGGAUAAAUAAGUGAACAGUUAGGUGGGUCAAAAAUCGGAUAAACUUCCAGGCUUAGAGGGUUGCAAUCAACAGGACAAAGUGUACCUGAAGGCCAGUCACUGGCAGUAUACCCCAAGGGUCGACAUUUGGUCCAGUACAUUUUAACUUCUUCAUUAGUGACCUGGAUAUUAGUGUAAAGUAUACCUUCAGUAAGUUUGCUGAGGAUACAAAAUGAGGAGCAGCGUUUGAUGCAACAGGUGUCUGUGCUGCUAUUCGGAAGAACCUCAACAGGCUGGAUAAAUGAAUUGACAGGUACCUCAUGAAACUGAAGAAAGGUAAGUGUUAAAUUCUACACUUGCACAGGAAUAAACCCUUGCACCAGUACACGCUGGUGGCUGGAAAGCAGCUCAGAAGAAAAGGAAUUGAGGUUUUGGCAGACAGCAAGUUGAAUAUGGGUCAGCAAUGUGCCCUUGCCGCAAAGAAGGAGAACAGACUCCUGUGCUGCACUAAGCAAAACAUUGCCAGCAGGUUAGGGAAGCCAUCCCUCCUUCUGGUGGGACACACCUGGAGUCCUGUGUCCGGUGCUGGGCUUCCCAGUAUGAGAGACAUGUAUGUAAUACAGCAAGUCCGGUGAAAUGCUACAAAGAUGACCAAGGGACUGGAGGAUCUUUCAUAAGAGGAGAGGCUGAGAGAGGUGAGAUUGUUCACAGUGGAGAAAAGAAUGCUCAGGAAGGAUCUUAUUAAUGUACACAAAUGCCUGCUGGGAGGCUGCAAAGAACAAGGAGCUAGGUUCUUCUCAGUGGUGCUCAAUGGCAUAAGAGAGAUUACGUACAAGUUGAAACACAGGAAAUUCCAUCUGAGCAUAACAAAAACUUCUUCAUUACAACAGUGGUUGAUAACUGGCAGAGGUUGCCCAGAAAGGCUGCAUUAUCUUCAUCCUUGGAGAUACUCAAAACCCAAUUGGGAAUUAAGCAUGGCCAUAGGCAACCUGCUGUGACUCUGCCUGAGCAGGGGUGGAGGUGUCUACCCAGAUUUUCUGCCCAGUCAAGUUGAAAUAAAGGAAAUUCUGCCUGAACAUAAGAAAAACUUACUUACUAUGUGAAUUGACAAACAUAGGAACACACUUACCUCCACUUUCUUUUCCAAAAACUGUGACAAAUUCAGCUUUUUUGUCUUCUGAUGACAAAAUUGAUUAUUUCCACUUAUGCAUAGUUGUAUACUGUUUUGAAAAUUAUCUCCAUUAUUUUUUCAGAACAUUUCUUAAAGCUGACAGAAAAGAAUAAUUUGAAUUCUUUUCCUUUAAUGUUCUAGCAUGUCAGCUUAUCUUUUCAUUAUGCACAAAUCAAAUUAGUCUAUUUUAUCACCCAGGACAUUAAUGAAGAUACUGAUUACAACUAAACACUGGAAACAUCACUGUUUGGCACUAAGGCUGAACAACCCCAACUCUCAGCCUUUCUUCACAGAAGAGGUGCUCCAGCCUUCUGAUCAUGUCUGUGGCCCUUCUCUGGACCCGCUCCAACAGGUCCCUUUCCUUCCUGUGCUGAGGGCUCCAGAGCUGGACACAGUAAUCCAGGUGAAGUCUCACCUACGUGGAGUAGAGGAGCAGAAUCACCUCCUUUGAUCUACUGGCAACACUCCUUUUGAUGAAGGCAAGGAUAUGAUUGGGUUCCAGAGCUGUGAGUGCACGUUGUCAGCUCUUGUCCAUGUUUUCAUCUACCAGUACACUGAGAACCACAAGGUUCCCUUUGGUGCCUUGGUCUCUGAUUCUUACCCAUAGGCUUUCAACAUGCUCAUGGCUAUUCUUCAGAGACAGCUCUUCAUACCCUAUCCAUUUCUUGAUGUAGUGGGCAACACCUCUGCCCCUCCUUCCUCACCUACCCCUUCUGAGCAGUCUGUAGCCAUUGAUAGCUGCACUGCCGUCAUGGGAUUUGUCCCACCAAGUUUCAGUCAUAGCAACUAGGUCAUUGCUUUCUAGCAGCCCAGUGCUU